rnacentral:rRNA from 1 species
CCUACGGGAGGCAGCAGUGGGGAAUAUUGGGCAAUGGGCGCAAGCCUGACCCAGCAAAGCCGCGUGAAGGAAGAAGGCUUUCGGGUUGUAAACUUCUUUUGUCAGGGAAGAGUAGAAGACGGUACCUGACGAGUAUGCCACGGCUAACUACGUGCCAGCAGCCGCGGUAAUACGGAGGUGGCAAGCGUUGUCCGGAUUUACUGGGUGUAACGGGCGUGUAGCCGGGUUGACAAGUCAGAUGUGAAAUCCUGCGGCUUAACCGCAGAAGUGCAGUUGAAACUGUUGAUCUUGAGUACAGGAGAGGCAGACGGAAUGCCUGGUGUAGCGGUGAAAUGCGUAGAUAUGAGGAGGAACACCGGUGGCGAAGGCGGUCUGCUGGACAGCAACUGACGGUGAGGCGCGAAAGCGUGGGGAGCAAACAGGAUUAGAUACCCUUGUAGUC